ACGAAUAGGGUAUCGACACCGAAAGGUGAAGGCAAUCUCCUAAACCCAUCCGUAGUUCGGAUUGUGGGCUGCAACUCGCCCACAUGAAGCUGGAAUCUGUAGUAAUCGUGUCUCAAAAUGGCACGGUGAAUAUGUCCCUGCUCCUU
rnacentral:rRNA from 1 species